rnacentral:misc_RNA from 1 species
AAGUCGUAACAAGGUCUCCGUAGGUGAACCUGCGGAGGGAUCAUUACAGAGCUCAUGCCCUAACGGGUAGAUCUCCCACCCUAUGUUAUCAUUACCAUGUUGCUUUGGCGGGCUGUCGAGCUCACGGCUCGGCGUACCGGGCUCGUGGCAUGGUCCAAGCCGCCGCCAGGAGGCACCUCAAAACCCUGAAUGUUCGUGUCGUCUGAGUACCAUAUAAUAGUUAAAA